rnacentral:lncRNA from 1 species
UUUUUUUAUGUUAAUUCAAUUGUUUUUCCAAAUUGUUAUGUUUUGGAGAGGAAUCGUUUGGGUGAAAAUCAGGUUUUUGAGUAAAAACCUUCAAAAACCUGUUUUAAGAACUUUUGAGAAAUAAGUUAUUUUGGGUGAUUUGAAUUAAAUUGCUUUGGGUUAGAAAACUAUAUUUUUCGAUGAGUAUUGAUUGUUUAAGUGUUUGGAACGAAUUCGGUGAAAGUGGAAUAAAAAAUGGACCGACGAAAAGUGUUGUUUUGCUGUGACAGGCAAAACGCACGGUCUGCAUCAGGGAGUGCACAACUGCAUUUUUCAUGUUUAGCAUCCUACGUGAACCAAUUAUAGCUAUACCAACUCGAAUUAGUUAUAAGUUAACAUGGUUUCAAAUCACAACAACCUUCAGUUUCUUAUAUAAGUAUGAAUCAAUUGACCGACUCUUCUUAGGCAUGAAACAUUUUGUUUGAAAGCCAUAUACAAUCAUUGUGUGUUGCAACAAUUGAUUAUUCUAUCAAAGAGUGAGAGAGGAAAUGGAGGAAGAAAUUAGGUUAAGGGGUGUGAGGAAUAGAAAGAGAAUUAAAACAAGAGUAAUAAUUGAAAAUUAGAAAAGGAAUUAAGGGUGUUUUUGUCAAUUUAAGGGGUAAUAAUAUGAAAUGCACAAAUUUCAAGUCAAAGUUACCAAUUUAAACUUCAUGUGCAAAAUAAAAAAACCCUUAAUAAAUAAACAAUUUUUCCUUAUAUGUCAUAAUUUUAUAAAAA